GACGAACGCUGGCGGCGUGCCUAAUACAUGCAAGUUGAGCGCUGAAGGUUGGUACUUGUACCAACUGGAUGAGCAGCGAACGGGUGAGUAACGCGUGGGGAAUCUGCCUUUGAGCGGGGGACAACAUUUGGAAACGAAUGCUAAUACCGCAUAAAAACUUUAAACACAAGUUUUAAGUUUGAAAGAUGCAAUUGCAUCACUCAAAGAUGAUCCCGCGUUGUAUUAGCUAGUUGGUGAGGUAAAGGCUCACCAAGGCGAUGAUACAUAGCCGACCUGAGAGGGUGAUCGGCCGCCUUGGGACUGAGACACGGCCCAAACUCCUACGGGAGGCAGCAGUAGGGAAUCUUCGGCAAGAGACGAAAGUCUGACCGAGCAACGCCGCGUGAGUGAAGAAGGGUGUCGGAUCGUAAAACUCUGUUGGUAGAGAAGAACGUUGGUGAGAGUGGAAAGCUCAUCAAGUGACGGUAACUACUCAGAAAGGGACGGCUAACUACGUG
rnacentral:rRNA from 1 species